rnacentral:rRNA from 1 species
AAUCAACGCUGGCGGCGUGCCUCAGACAUGCAGGUCGAACGAUUAAAGCUCUCUUCGGAGAGUGUAUAGAGUGGCGCACGGGUGAGUAACACGUAAGUAAUCUACCUUUGAGUGGGGAAUAACCCGGGGAAACCCGAGCUAAUACCGCAUAAUGCAGCGGCACCGCAAGGUGACAGUUGUUAAAGGAGCAAUCCGCUUAAAGAGGAGCUUGCGGCAGAUUAGCUAGUGGUUAAGGUAAUGGCUUACCAAGGCUUCGAUCUGUAUCCGGCCUGAGAGGGCGGUCGGACACACUGACACUGAAUAACGGGUCAGACUCCUACGGGAGGCAGCAGUCGGGAA